AUUGGAAAGUCGAGAAUUUAGUAUUUAGCACGCGCUAGAGAGAUUCAAAACAUCGAAUUUGACCGACACUUAGUCCAAAUAAUUGUACGUUGACGGAUUUUUUUUAGAUUUUUGAUAUGGCAAAGGGAUUGGAAGAAUCCCGUAUUACACGUCUAAUAUUUUAGACUAGACCGACACUGAACAGAGAUAAAACCCAGAUGUAUACAUGGCCUGGAUUUCCAUAUUAUGCUGCCCAGAAUAAAAGACGAUGCAGUCCAGAUAAAAACAUUGUAUGGCUCAAUAAUCUUUACCAAACUUGAUGCAUCAGAUGAAGUCUUUGACUAUCUAGAAAGGGAUUAUGUAAGCUAGUACUGGACAUGAAGACAGUCACUUGGAAAUGAUGAUUGUGCAACAGCGGUUAAACAUAUGCAAUACAUCAUAUGGUGACCAGACAGGGAGGAAACUAGGGAAAUGGUUAUCCACCAACAGCCCAAGUGCUUGGUUGAUAAGAGGAGCCACAGCAUUAAACAUUACUGCACAAAGUGGUGUGCUUUGCUAACACUUAUGAUUGUGAUUUGAUAAAAAAGCAAUGAAUGAACGCUCAUUAUUCAUAACUAUAACUAAAACAUUGAUGUCAAAAGUUGUCAAUUUUCAACAUAUAUAGUAUUUGAGAUCCUGAUCUAUAGUUGUGUGCAAUGGAUUAUCAAAGAAAAACAAAAGAGUGGGCAACAAAAUGAAUAGCAUAAUGCACCAGUCAAUUGUAACCACAUCCCGCGCCCAGGUCCGGGGACUUUUGACUUUUGGUCCAGCCUACCCCAGGUUAAAUUCCCUGAACUGAUCCUGAACUAAAAUCCCUGCCAAAUUCCCCCGCAUCCAACAUACCAUUGGUAAGACAAAACCACCGCAUUCACACCCAGUAUACCCCCAGACGGGGGUGGUGGUGGUUACAAUUGACAUGUGCAUUACCCACUACCCAUUUACACCAGUAAUUCAUAAUUAUAUUUGAUAGACAUGCCUCUUGUCAAAGGUUUUGAAGGGUAUGAACGUAAAACUACCUGCCUAUGGCCUUUCAAGAUUUUAUAACAUUGUUAAACUAAAGAAAUUAUUAUUAAGUUUAUACUAGAUCUUUGUUAAGAGUGACUCCUUUGAUAAUUCUGGAGAAAAACUAUUAGGAUUAGGUUCUGUAUUUGUCCAUAAUUUGUCAUAUGACAUGUAAGCAGGAGUUCAUUCCUUCAGAGAAUUGUGAAUCUUAUAUAAUUAUGUAUUUGACAUCUUAUGAAUUUUAUCACACUUUAACCUAGAGGCAGUUCAAAUAAAUACUGCUAUGAUUGAACCAAUACUGAAUAAGGGGAAGAAUUCCAAACAAGACAGUAUACAUCUAGUAUCAUGUUUGUCUGAUAAUUUUGAAAUCAUAGUGAUUAAAUCUAAAAGGAUGUUAAAGCUGCACUGUCACUGAUUAAUAGUUUUCACAUUUGCUUUGAAAAAAAAUAAUUAAAAUAGUCUGACUUUUGCAUGAAUGCCUUCAAUCCAGUCAUAUAAGAUAACUCUCAAUGAAACAGAAUUCAAUUGUCUGAAAAACUGCCAAAAUUUUCAUUUCUUCUCAAGCAUUACUAACCAUUAAACAUAGAGUUUUAAAUGGUAAUAGGAAAAACUGUGAUUUUGUAUGCAGUCUCAUAUAACUGUUAUCAGACAUGUGCACAAAAGUUUUUCAUUCCAAGUUAAAAAUAAUAAAAAUUCAUAUAUCUGUGAGAGUGCAGCAUUAACAAUGAAAACAAUUAUUAAAAAUGGUAUUUCCAACUGUGUAUAAUAAUGCAACAACAAUUUACCUUCUACUAGCACAUUGAAUUACAAGUUCUGCUUUUUCAAAGAAAACAGGCAUAUGGGAAGUACCAUCACUUCCAGCGAUAUUUUUGUUGUAGCUUUUUUUUAUAAGAGACAUUUGCAAAAACUGUUCAUAGAUUGUGUUUUAAGGUGUAUGUUUUAUAGACAGUACUCCAAUUCUCUUUAAUAUAUAAUAUAUGUUUGUUUCAUUUAAGGCUUUUGUGUGUUUUAGGCCUGUUUCAGACCAUUCCUGAUAUCGUAUUUUCAUAUAAACCCGGCAAUCAUAAUUGCAUACCUCUGCAAAAGAAUAAUAAACAUUCACAGAAAUUAAACAGUAACGGAAUUUUUCGAAUUUUUCUCAACAUAAGAAGAGACUUUUGUAUUUUGGCCCAGCUAAUGUUAUUAUAUUGUUGACUAACAUAAGCUUACAAGCAAAUUAACAGGCAGAAUAGGUAGAGAAAAGAUGAGCAUGUAGUCUUGUUUUGCAUACAGAAGUAAGGGGCUUAGCUAGCCCUUUAUAUGUGGAUUCAUAAUUGCUAGGUGGGUCUCGGGGCAUGCCCCCUCAGAAUAUUUUGAAAAACAUGGUGCAUUCUGGGCGUUUUGAGGUGCUUUAUUUUGUACUGGAAAAUAAAAAUGGCAUUUAAAGGAUCAUGUAGUCAAGUACGCAAACUGCAACUUUGGCUGAUUUUUUUAUGUUUUUAUCAGAAUCAUGUGGAUUCAUCCGCAUACUAGUGUUAUAUGCAGCUUCACGCCUGGUAUCUCAGACAGACAUUUUUAGGCUUAUGUAGAUGUUUGCAAGGCAAGGCUUGGCAAACCAAAGCGCCUGUCUCAUUAUAUUGGUUACAAAGUGCUUUUGCAUGUUGUUUGCAAUUGUGCAUUUUGCGUGACUGGUAAAUAUCUGCAAUAUAAAAACUUAAAAUUCAUUGAUGCCUAGGUGACCAAAUUUCAUUUCAUUUGUCAAACAUUGUGCCCCAAAAGCACAUUUCACAUAAGUAUGUAGUUUUUUUACUUAAGGUCUAUUAUACUGUAAUAUAAAAUAUAUUUAAAAACAGUAAUUCUGGUAAUUUUAUUGCAAAAUUUGACAAAGUAAUUGGCAAAAUGCAGAAUUUUUCAUUUUUUUUCUAACAAAUUUACCUAAAAAUCAUAUUUUACAAAAUACAUAGUUUGUAUAUUUCAAGUAUCUUAUAAUGUUAUAUAAUAUCUGUUUUAAAAAGUUAUUUUGGUAAUUUUAUUGCAAAAUUUGGCUAAGUCCAGAAAUUCUCAUUUUCAUUUAACUUUUAAAACAUUUUGCCCAAAAAUUAUAUUUUGUACAAUGUGAUUGUAUUAUACUUAUAGUAUAUUAAAUGUGGUG